AUCACCUGGGGAUCUUGUUAAACUGGAGAGUCUGUUUCAGAAGGUCUGGGGUGAGCCUGAGGUUCUGUAUUUCUAACAAGUUCUCAAGUGCUGCUGCU
rnacentral:miRNA from 1 species